UAGUCCACACCGUAAACGAUGUAUGCUUGGUGUUCCCACUAUGUGGGAGUGCCGGAGGUAAUCCGUUAAGCAUACCACCUGGGAAGUACGAUCGCAAGGUUGAAACUCAAAGGAAUUGACGGGGGCCCGCGACAAGCGGUGGAUUAUGUGGUUUAAUUCGAUGCAACGCGAAGAACCUUACCGGGGCUUGAAGUGCAGUGGACAGCUGGUGAAAGCCAGUCUUCCUUCGGGACUGCUGCAGAGGUGCUGCAUGGUUGUCGUCAGCUCGUGCCGUGAGGUGUUGGGUUAAGUCCCGCAACGAGCGCAACCCCUAUCCUUAGUUGCCAGCACAUAAUGGUGGGAACUCUAGGGAGACUGCCCGCGCAAGCGGAGAGGAAGGUGGGGAUGACGUCAAAUCAUCAUGGCCCUUACGUCCCGGGCUACACACGUAAUACAAUGGACGGUACAAUGGGCGAAGCCGCGAGGUGGAGGAAAUCCAUAAAACCGUUCUCAGUUCGGAUUGGAGUCUGCAACUCGA
rnacentral:rRNA from 1 species